rnacentral:misc_RNA from 1 species
CCUAAAUUGAAGACUUCUUCUGUUCUGGAAAAUUUAAAACUCAACAUAGUGCAAAAUAAAAGUAAUAUUAUCCAUACAAAAUAAUUUUUUAACUUAAAAAUGUAAAUAUAAAUAGUGAAACCAAAGUUUUAGUAAAAGAGAAUUCCUUUAUUUUAUAUUUUAAUAUAACUAAAGAAUACUAAGAAUGUUUGGAAAUAUUUUUAAAGGUGACCUUCCACUGUUGUAAGAUAUUUGUAGCCAACACAAAAUUCUAUUUUUAGGGUUCCGUACCUCAAAAGAAAAAAACGUAACCCUUUUAGUAUCACUUUGUUGUCCGUCUGUCUGUCAAGGUACUUCCCAUGAACUCAGAAUCUUAAAAUUUGGUAUGAAGCAACGUCUUAUAGCACAGAUAAAGAAAAAAUUGCGAAAAGCAUAAAUUUUUAGUUACAUCAUAUAAUAAAAAUAUUUGUAAUAAUUUUGUUUGUACGGAACCCUCGGUGCGCGAGUACAACUAGCACUUGGCCGACUUUUUUUGUUACAUUAUCUAUUUGAAAGGUAAAAAGACUGAAAAUGACACAUCCAUAUGUCACACACUGCUAUUUCUGUGGUCACACGUGUGAAAAUAAAACAGUGUGUUGAAAAAUGAAUAUUAUUCGAUGACUUAAUCUAAAAGUAAUGACAGUGGAAAAACCUAUUUCUGAAAUAUGAAGAAAAUGUCAGUCGCUUGAAUGAGAUUAAUGUAACCGAGAUCUCAUUAUUAAUACGAGUACUUAAUAUUUAUUAUCUUCCAAUUUAAAAAAAUGUAAAUAUUUGUAUCCUUGUAGCGGUUAAAUUGUCCUUAGAACGACAAAAAUACCUGUUGACUGAAUUCUUAGCGCUACGUUUAGCAUUUUAUGAGUUAUAGAAAAUUGUAAGCACCGUUUCUUAAAAAUUUCAGAUCAGUAUAAUAAAAACAAAUUACUGUUAUUUACUUUUUUUAAAUUUCUUUUUAAAUUGUUGAAAGAAUUAUUAUUUUAUUGUUAUUUAAUAUUAAUCAGUGAACGACAUAUAAAAUAUAUCGCAGCGUAGUGCUUUGUUUCCAGUGUAAACAUAGCAUAAAUUAACACGAAUUAGUAAAACCUACUUCCGUGUGCCUAGUUAUAAAAUUGUAAAGAUUAUAAUGUAAAUAUUUUAUUCGAAGUGUAUUAAUAAUUCGAG